rnacentral:rRNA from 1 species
GAUGAACGCUGGCGGCGUGCCUAAUACAUGCAAGUCGAGCGGACCAAAGAGAGCUUGCUCUCUGAGGUUAGCGGCGGACGGGUGAGUAACACGUGGGUAACCUGCCUGUAAGACGGGGAUAACUUCGGGAAACCGAAGCUAAUACCGGAUGAUAAAGAGAAACGCCUGUUUCUUUUUUGAAAGUCGGCCUUGUGCUGACGCUUAUAGAUGGGCCCGCGGCGCAUUAGCUAGUUGGUGGGGUAACGGCUCACCAAGGCGACGAUGCGUAGCCGACCUGAGAGGGUGAUCGGCCACACUGGGACUGAGACACGGCCCAGACUCCUACGGGAGGCAGCAGUAGGGAAUCUUCGGCAAUGGACGAAAGUCUGACCGAGCAACGCCGCGUGAGCGAUGAAGGCCUUCGGGUCGUAAAGCUCUGUUGUCAGAGAAGAACAAGUACCGGAGUAACUGCCGGUACCUUGACGGUACCUGACCAGAAAGCCACGGCUAACUACGUGCCAGCCGCCGCCGUAACAC